rnacentral:rRNA from 1 species
GCACAAGCGGUGGAGCAUGUGGUUUAAUUCGACGCAACGCGCAGAACCUUACCAGCCCUUGACAUCCCGGUCGCGGACUCCAGAGACGGAGUUCUUCAGUUCGGCUGGACCGGAGACAGGUGCUGCAUGGCUGUCGUCAGCUCGUGUCGUGAGAUGUUGGGUUAAGUCCCGCAACGAGCGCAACCCUUAUCUUUAGUUGCCAUCAGGUCAAGCUGGGCACUCUAACGAAACCGCACAGGAUAACUGUGAGGAAGGUGGGGAUGACGUCAAGUCCUCAUGGCCUUUAUGUCCAGGGCUACACACGUGCUACAAUGGUCGGUACAAACCGUCGCAAACCUGCGAAGGGGAGCUAAUCGGAAAAAGCCGGCCUCAGUUCGGAUUGGAGUCUGCAACUCGACUCCAUGAAGCUGGAAUCGCUAGUAAUCGCAGAUCAGAACGCUGCGGUGAAUACGUUCCCGGGC